GCAGUUAAAAACCAAUUAGAGACCAAACUCAAUCCAAUAAGAGCAAAUAAAUAAGAUUCCAUACAGUUUAAUGGCAGAAAUCUUCCUCGUACAAAAUAGCUAUUAACAUUAAAAACCAGAAAUUAACCAAAAAUACCCUCAAAUAUUUCAAAACAGGAAGAGAUUCAAAGCAGCCAAUCCCCCCAAAAAAGAUAAAAAGGAAAAGGAAACUGACUCCAUCACAAAUCACUCUCAACCCUAUUUAACAUAAACCCUACAAUGACAAAAACCAACGACUCAAGUUUCACACCAACAGCAUUAAUCCAACAUAGCAUCCCAAUUCCAGGAGCUUUAGAAGCACUUCCUGUGGACGAUUGAAGGGCCGGAUUCGUCGUA
rnacentral:lncRNA from 1 species